rnacentral:rRNA from 1 species
CCUACGGGAGGCAGCAGUGAGGAAUAUUGGUCAAUGGACGAGAGUCUGAACCAGCCAAGUAGCGUGAAGGAUGACUGCCCUAUGGGUUGUAAACUUCUUUUAUAAAGGAAUAAAACGAGGCACGUGUGCCUUUUUGCAUGUACUUUAUGAAUAAGGAUCGGCUAACUCCGUGCCAGCAGCCGCGGUAAUACGGAGGAUCCGAGCGUUAUCCGGAUUUAUUGGGUUUAAAGGGUGCGCGGGCGGAGGCACAAGUCAGCGGUAAAAUCGCGGGGCUAAACCCCGCUCCGCCGUUGAAACUGUGUCCCUUGAGUGCGCGAAGGGUAGGCGGAAUGCGUGGUGUAGCGGUGAAAUGCAUAGAUAUCACGAAGAACUCCGAUCGCGAAGGCAGCCUACCGGCGCGCAACUGACGCUCAUGAACGAAAGCGUGGGUAUCGAACAGGAUUAGAUACCCUAGUAGUC